rnacentral:rRNA from 1 species
UCAGUUCGGAUUGGAGUCUGCAACUCGCUCCAUGAAGCUGGAUUCGCUAGUAAUCGCGCAUCAGCAUGCCGCGGUGAAUACGUUCCCGGGCCUUGUACACACCGCCCGUCACACCAUGGGAGCCGGUAAUACCCGAAGCCAGUAGUCUAACCGCAAGGGGGACGCUGUCGAAGGUAGGAUUGGCGACUGGGGUGAAGUCGUAACAAGGUAGC